UACGUAGGGUGCAAGCGUUGUCCGGAAUUAUUGGGCGUAAAGCGCGUGUAGGCGGCUCGGUAAGUCCGCUGUGAAAGUCCAGGGCUCAACCCUGGAAUGCCGGUGGAUACUGUCGGGCUCGAGUCCGGAAGAGGCGAGUGGAAUUCCUGGUGUAGCGGUGAAAUGCGCAGAUAUCAGGAGGAACACCGAUGGCGAAGGCAGCUCGCUGGGACGUGACUGACGCUGAGACGCGAAAGCGUGGGGAGCAAACAGG
rnacentral:rRNA from 1 species